UACGGGGGGGCAAGCGUUGUUCGGAAUUACUGGGCGUAAAGGGCGCGUAGGUGGCCAACUAAGUCAGACGUGAAAUCCCUCGGCUUAACCGGGGAACUGCGUCUGAUACUGGAUGGCUUGAGUUUGGGAGAGGGACGCGGAAUUCAGGUGUAGCGGUGAAAUGCGUAGAUAUCUGGAGGAACACCGGUGGCGAAGGCGGCGUUCUGGACUGCAACUGACACUGAAAAACGAAAGCCAGGGGAAGCAAACGGGG
rnacentral:rRNA from 1 species